rnacentral:tRNA from 1 species
AGGUAUUUGGUCUAGUGGUAUGAUUCUCUUAGGGUACUAACUUAAAUCCCGAGUUCAAUUCUCGGAAUACCCC